GUCACUGAGACAACGGUCGCCACUCUGCUGCAAACGAUAGCAACGCUCAAACGAGAGGUUGCAACCCUGAGGCAAGACGACUCUUUAUCGCAGAAGAUCGAAAAAUUAAAAAGGCAAAUCGAUACUUUAAAUCAAAACAACUCUUUACAGCAGACCGUGGAAGUUUUGAGAAGGCAGAUUGGUUUUCUUAGACGUGACAGAACUUUACAGAACUCGGUAAACUCAUUGAAAAGAGAGAUUAACUCCCAAAAGCGGGAGGGCAGGGAAAAUUUAGAAAAUUGUCAGAAAAAAAUGCAGGACUUUGAUCAAAAGUUCAAAAUUCUCAGUGAAAAUAUGACGGCUAUCCAACAGUAUCUUACAAGGACGGAGGGGAAAACCAUAGAAAAAGGUUCAAAACUAACAAGGGAUUGUAGAGAUCACUAUCUACUUCAACACGCAGUCUGGUUUAUAUAACAUAAACCCUUUUGGUAACGAGACCAGUGUCAGCCUGUAUUGUGACAUGGUGACUGAUGGAGGAGGGUGGACAGCUAUCCAGAAACGUGUGAGUGGUUCGGUGUCAUUCAACAGAAACUGGACGGACUACAAGGCGGGAUUCGGGAAUCCUAACGGAUCCUAAUGGAUAGGGAAUGACGUCAUACAUCAACUUACUAAAAGAAGGAACUCCUCCCUCUACGUCUCCAUGACACUGACCAAUGGGACAAAGCUCUAUGAAUUAUACAACCAGUUCUCUGUUGCUGACGAAACCAACAACUACCGACUUUUUCUUGGCGGACCAGCCAUUGGGACCCUGGGUAGGUAAACGGAAAAAAGAAUGUACGAAUGACGACCUAUAUUAAGGAGAGCGAGGGAGAAAGAUUUUAAUUUCUUGUGACAGAUAGACAAAUAUCAAUUCUUUCUGUGAGAAUCUACCCUAUAGCUACGUAAUUAAUGGAGGGGGAUGUGUUGAUAUCAAUAUUUUGAAAGUAAAAUGUUCCUGUUAUAUUGAAAAUCGAGAGUCCCUACUAUAUAAACCAAUCAGUAAUAACUCGCUAAAAGAUUGAACAUCCCCACGUCAUAAACACUACAUGCAUACUU